rnacentral:rRNA from 1 species
UAGAGUUUGAUCAUGGCUCAGAACGAACGCUGGCGGCAGGCCUAACACAUGCAAGUCGAGCGCGCCCUUCGGGGUGAGCGGCGGACGGGUUAGUAACGCGUGGGAACGUGCCCUUUUCUAAGGAAUAGCCACUGGAAACGGUGAGUAAUACCUUAUACGCCCUUCGGGGGAAAGAUUUAUCGGAGAAGGAUCGGCCCGCGUUAGAUUAGGUAGUUGGUGGGGUAAUGGCCUACCAAGCCUACGAUCUAUAGCUGGUUUGAGAGGAUGAUCAGCAACACUGGGACUGAGACACGGCCCAGACUUCUACGGAAGGCAGCAGUGGGGAAUCUUGGACAAUGGGCGCAAGCCUGAUCCAGCCAUGCCGCGUGAGUGAUGAAGGCCUUAGGGUCGUAAAGCUCUUUCGCCUGUGAAGAUAAUGACGGUAGCAGGUAAAGAAACCCCGGCUAACUCCGUGCCAGCAGCCGCGGUAAUACGGAGGGGGUUAGCGUUGUUCGGAAUUACUGGGCGUAAAGCGCGCGUAGGCGGACUAUUAAGUCAGGGGUGAAAUCCCGGGGCUCAACCCCGGAACUGCCCUUGAUACUGGUAGUCUUGAGUUCGAGAGAGGUGAGUGGAAUUCCGAGUGUAGAGGUGAAAUUCGUAGAUAUUC